rnacentral:rRNA from 1 species
CCUACGGGUGGCAGCAGUGAGGAAUAUUGGUCAAUGGCCGGAAGGCUGAACCAGCCAUGCCGCGUGAAGGGCAGGGGCCUAUGGGCGUUAAACUUCUGUUGUGCGGGAGCAAGAAUGGUCACGUGUGGCCAGACGAGAGUACCGUACGAAUAAGCAGCGGCUAACUCCGGGCCAGCAGCCGCGGUAAUACGGGGGAUGCAAGCGUUAUCCGGAGUUAUUGGGUUUAAAGGGAGCGUAGAUGGGUUGUUAAGUCAGUUGUGAAAGUUUGCGGCUCAACCGUAAAAUUGCAAUUGAUACUGGCAGCCUUGAGUACAGUUGAGGUAGGCGGCAUUCGUGGUGUAGCGGUGCAAUGCUUAGAUAUCACGAAGAACUCCGAUUGCGAAGGCAGCCUACUAAACUGCCCCUGACAUUGAUGCUCGAAAGUGUGGGUAUCAAACAGGAUUAGAUACCCCAGUAGUC